rnacentral:rRNA from 1 species
GAUGAACGCUGGCGGCGUGCCUAAUACAUGCAAGUCGAGCGAACAGAUGAGGAGCUUGCUCCUCUGACGUUAGCGGCGGACGGGUGAGUAACACGUGGAUAACCUACCUAUAAGACUGGGAUAACUUCGGGAAACCGGAGCUAAUACCGGAUAAUAUAUUGAACCGCAUGGUUCAAUAGUGAAAGACGGUUUUGCUGUCACUUAUAGAUGGAUCCGCGCCGCAUUAGCUAGUUGGUAAGGUAACGGCUUACCAAGGCAACGAUGCGUAGCCGACCUGAGAGGGUGAUCGGCCACACUGGAACGGAAACACGGUCCAGACUCCUACGGGAGGGAGCAGUAGGGAAUCUUCCGCAAUGGGCGGAAGCUUGACGGAGCAACGCCGCGUGAGUGAUGAAGGUCUUCGGAUCGUAAAACUCUGUUAUUAGGGAAGAACAAAUGUGUAAGUAACUAUGCACGUCUUGACGGUACCUAAUCAGAAAGCCACGGCUAACUACGUG